rnacentral:rRNA from 1 species
GUGGGGAAUAUUGGACAAUGGGCGAAAGCCUGAUCCAGCCAUGCCGCGUGUGUGAAGAAGGUCUUCGGAUUGUAAAGCACUUUAAGUUGGGAGGAAGGGCAGUAAGUUAAUACCUUGCUGUUUUGACGUUGCCGACAGAAUAAGCACCGGCUAACUUCGUGCCAGCAGCCGCGGUAAUACGAAGGGUGCAAGCGUUAAUCGGAAUUACUGGGCGUAAAGCGCGCGUAGGUGGUUUUGUAAGUUGGAGGUGAAAUCCCCGGGCUCAACCUGGGAACUGCCUCGAAAACUGCAUGACUAGAGUACGGUAGAGGGUAGUGGAAUUUCCUGUGUAGCGGUGAAAUGCGUAGAUAUAGGAAGGAACACCAGUGGCGAAGGCGACUACCUGGACUGAUACUGACACUGAGAUGCGAAAGCGUGGGGAGCAAACAGGAUUAGAAACCCCGGUAGUCC